rnacentral:sRNA from 1 species
UCCUGAAGUGCUCCGAAGACAACCCGCUCUUUGCCGGCAUCGACUGUGAGGUGUUCGAGUCACGCUUCCCCACCACCAUGGCCUUGUCCGUGCUCGUGACCAUUGAAAUGUGCAAUGCCCUCAACAGCGUCUCGGAGAACCAGUCGCUGCUGCGGAUGCCGCCCUGGAUGAACCCCUGGCUGCUGGCGGCUGUGGCCAUGUCCAUGGCCCUGCACUUCCUCAUCCUGCUCGUGCCGCCCCUGCCUCUCAUUUUCCAGGUGACCCCACUGAGCGGGCGCCAGUGGGUGGUGGUGCUCCAGAUAUCUCUGCCUGUCAUCCUGCUGGAUGAGGCCCUCAAGUACCUGUCCCGGAACCACACGCACGGUGAGUGGGAGGCCCCGUCCUGCCUCCAGCCUGCCUCCCCGCCCGCCUCUGCUCCUGGGCUGCAGUGGACGCUGUGGGUGUGGAGUGCAGAGCCUCUCUGUCUGCACAUGGGGGAGGCGUUCUCGGAUCACCAAGUGGAGGGUGUGAAGGGGCUCUGGUGGCUGGGUCCUAAGGUGUCUGCAGGGUCUUGCACUGCAGGGGACCUGGGCUCACUGGGCCAGCAACGGGAGCACCUCUUGGGCCACACUGCCUCACCGUCUUCACCUGCCACCCCCUACAUGGCCAGGGCACUGUGUGCUCUUCUGGGCCUCGGCCUCUGACCCCUCUGCACCCAGCCUGUCUUUAUCCAGGCCUUCUCAGGACAGUCUCACAGGCCUGGAGUAGGCAGCCGCUGACCACCUCUUGGACCCCAGACCACACCGGGUUGGCCUCUUUGGUGUCACCUUGUGGGUGGGUCAAGGGGAGGGUUGUUUCUGAGCUCACAGCUCUGGGUCUGCCUUAACCC